rnacentral:rRNA from 1 species
CAGCAGCCGCGGUAAUACGUAGGGUGCAAGCGUUAAUCGGAAUUACUGGGCGUAAAGCGUGCGCAGGCGGUUUUGUAAGACAGUGGUGAAAUCCCCGGGCUCAACCUGGGAACUGCAUUUGUGACUGCAAGGCUGGAGUGCGGCAGAGGGGGAUGGAAUUCCGCGUGUAGCAGUGAAAUGCGUAGAUAUGCGGAGGAACACCGAUGGCGAAGGCAAUCCCCUGGRCCUGCACUGACGCUCAUGCACGAAAGCGUGGGGAGCAAACAGGAUUAGAUACCCUGGUAGUCCACGCCCUAAACGAUGUCAACUGGUUGUUGGGAAUUAUCUUUCUCAGUAACGAAGCUAACGCGUGAAGUUGACCGCCUGGGGAGUACGGCCGCAAGGUUAAAACUCAAAGGAAUUGAC